CUCGGAAUUGGGUGUCGGUAC
rnacentral:siRNA from 1 species